rnacentral:rRNA from 1 species
CUCAGGACGAACGCUGGCGGCGCGCCUAACACAUGCAAGUCGAACGAGAGAGAAGAAGCUUGCUUCUUUGAUCGAGUGGCGAACGGGUGAGUAACGCGUGAGGAACCUGCCUCAAAGAGGGGGACAACAGUUGGAAACGACUGCUAAUACCGCAUAAGCCCACGGGUCGGCAUCGACCAGAGGGAAAAGGAGCAAUCCGCUUUGAGAUGGCCUCGCGUCCGAUUAGCUAGUUGGUGAGGUAACGGCCCACCAAGGCGACGAUCGGUAGCCGGACUGAGAGGUUGAACGGCCACAUUGGGACUGAGACACGGCCCAGACUCCUACGGGAGGCAGCAGUGGGGUAUAUUGCACAAUGGGGGAAACCCUGAUGCAGCGACGCCGCGUGGAGGAAGAAGGUCUUCGGACUGUAAACUCCUGUUGUUGAGGAAGAUAAUGACGGUACUCAACAAGGAAGUGACGGCUAACUACGUGCCAGCAGCCGCGGUAAAACGUAGGUCACAAGCGUUGUCCGGAAUUACUGGGUGUAAAGGGAGCGCAGGCGGGAAGACAAGUUGGAAGUGAAAUCCAUGGGCUCAACCCAUGAACUGCUUUCAAAACUGCUUUUCUUGAGUAGUGCAGAGGUAGGCGGAAUUCCCGGUGUAGCGGUGGAAUGCGUAGAUAUCGGGAGGAACACCAGUGGCGAAGGCGGCCUACUGGGCACCAACUGACGCUGAGGCUCGAAAGUGUGGGUAGCAAACAGGAUUAGAUACCCUGGUAGUCCACACCGUAAACGAUGAUUACUAGGUGUUGGAGGAUUGACCCCUUCAGUGCCGCAGUUAACACAAUAAGUAAUCCACCUGGGGAGUACGACCGCAAGGUUGCAACUCAAAUGAAUUGACGG